rnacentral:rRNA from 1 species
UACGUAGGGGGCGAGCGUUGUCCGGAUUUAUUGGGCGUAAAGAGCGUGUAGGCGGCCAGGUAGGUCCGUUGUGAAAACUCGAGGCUCAACCUCGAGACGUCGAUGGAAACCAUCUGGCUAGAGUUCGGUAGGGGAGACUGGAAUUCCUGGUGUAGCGGUGAAAUGCGCAGAUAUCAGGAGGAACACCGGUGGCGAAGGCGGGUCUCUGGGCCGAUACUGACGCUGAGGAGCGAAAGCGUGGGGAGCGAACAGG